GAUGAACGCUGGCGGCGUGCCUAAUACAUGCAAGUCGAACGCUGAAGCUUGGUUCUUGCACCGAGCGGAUGAGUUGCGAACGGGUGAGUAACGCGUAGGUAACCUGCCUCUUAGCGGGGGAUAACUAUUGGAAACGAUAGCUAAUACCGCAUAAAAGUCGAUAUCGCAUGAUAUUUCUUUGAAAGGUGCAAAUGCAUCACUUAUAGAUGGACCUGCGUUGUAUUAGGUAGUUGGUGAGGUAACGGCUCAACAAGGCGACGAUACAUAGCCGACCUGAGAGGGAGGAAGGGCAAAAUGGGAAUGAGACAAGGCACAGAAUGCUAAGGGAGGGAGCAGGAGGGAAACUGCGGAAAUGGGGGCAAAGCAGAACGAGAAAAGACGGGGGAGGGAAGAAGGGUGUCGGAUCGGAAAGAUCUGUUGUAAGAGAAGAAAGAGUGUGAGAGUGGAAAGUUCACACUGUGACGGUAACUAAACAGAAAGGGACGGCUAACUACGUG
rnacentral:rRNA from 1 species